UCUGGGAAGGAUCAUUACCGAGUUCAUGCCCUGAAAAGGGUAGAUCUCCCACCCUUUGUAUACCUUACCUUUGUUGCUUUGGCGGGCCGCCUAGCUACUGGCUUCGGCUGGUAAGUGCCCGCCAGAGGACCCAAAACCCUGAAUUAUUAGUGUCGUCUGAGUAAAAUAUUUAAUAUUUAAAACUUUCAACAACGGAUCUCUUGGCUCUGGCAUCGAUGAAGAACGCAGCGAAAUGCGAUAAGUAAUGUGAAUUGCAGAAUUCAGUGAAUCAUCGAAUCUUUGAACGCACAUUGCGCCCCUUGGUAUUCCGAGGGGCAUGCCUAUUCGAGCGUCAUUAUCACCCCUCAAGCUUCAGCUUGGUGUUGAGGCCUGCUGUCAAGGCAGCCUCUAAAAUCAGUGGCAGUGCUGUCAGGCUCUAAGCGUAGUAAAAUUCAUCGCUAUAGACACCUGGUGGACACUCGCCAGAACCCCCAAUUUUUAAUGAUUGACCUCGGAUUAGGUAGGGAUACCCGCUGAACUUAAGCAUAUCAAAUGAUGA
rnacentral:rRNA from 1 species